UUCCCUGUUAUUAGGGUCAGACUUCAUGAGGCAAGCAGUCAGGGCAGCUGCUUUGCAGAAGGCCAUGUGUCCUGUGUGAGUUGGGAGAAGCUGAGUCCAGGAGCAGAAAGCAGGCUGUUGUCCCUAACGCUGAAGCAUUUUGCAGCAGCCCCUCUAACAGGGAAGCCUGGGCAAUGGGUUUCUGUACACAUAACUGAGUGGUUAAUCAGUUAGCUGACUGGCUAGCAGUGAUUUCAGCAGAGGAAGCGUCUGCAUGGAUUCCAAUGGAAGAUUCCUACAAGCAAGUGGAGGGAAGAUGUUGUUUUAGACUCAGCAGACUGUGUAGAUUUGGUGAUCAAAGACUCUGAGAUUUAGGUGAACAAAACCUAAGCUUUUAGGAACUCUCAGUUUCUUCUCACUGUAUUUCUGUGGGGACUGAACUGUUCAGGUUUUAAUUUGUUUUCUUUAUGUUCAUGUGUAACUGUGACGGUAAUGUCUGUGGAUUAUAAAAUAGCCAUGUCAUGCUGUAAAAAUUAGAUUAUUAUUUAUAAAAUCUUAUGAUAAAGAAACAAAGUUAUUUAAUUAAAUUCAUUUCUUUAGUUUCUUUUGGGACUUGCAUGUGAGGAGGUUGACCCCUGUACAAUUCUUGCUGAAAAUCCUUAGAGACUGAACUCUGGGUCUCCAGCUACUUUCUAUGGGAGUUGGGGUUUUUUUUCUUAAGGUACUGGAGACAGGAAAUGAAAUGAACUCUAGCCCACCCAAAGGUUACAUUUGCAUGUGCAAAACUAGGCAUUUGUGUGCUCACACAAAUCAGUUCAGCUCCAAAGCCAGUUUGGUGUGAGAGGGCAUGCCUUUGAAGGAUGGCUGAACAUUAGGCCUUAAAUACCAAGAUUUUCUUUUGUUAGUUUUGAAGCUACUCUUCCAUAGUCAAUUUUUGGGGGGGAUCCAUAAAACCACAUUUUGUAUUCUCAUGCUGGCUCUGCAUAGCAGUUAACUAUGAAACCCUAUCCCCAGAGCUGUAAAAACACCGUCAAGCUACUCUGAAGCCAAAGAAAUAAAAGUUCUUGUUAAACAAAGUCAGCCAUGUUAACUUCAGCUCCAUUUAAAAUAGAUGGGAAAACAAUCAGUUUGUUACAUUGGAAAAGACAAAAAUGAGUGGAAAAAUACGUUGUUUGCAAACUUCUAAGGACCUGUUACAAACAAUAGAGAGAAAAAAACCUACACUAUUUUUAAGGGGGGAAAUUCCCAACAUCAUUCAAGCUGAUACAAAAUGAAUGGAAAGUCUAAAAGUUAAAACAGUGAUCUGGGAAUAAGGAGAUCCAGGGGCCACUCCCAGUUAUGUCACUGAUUCUCUAUGUUCUGCAAUUACUAAUCUUUCUGGGCCUGAUUCUCAGUUACUCUAUGUCUCCUACCUAGCUGGAGCAGAGCUAAACCUUCUUCCAGCCCAGCUUCUCCAAUUUAUACCAGGGUCUAAAAAAGCCCUUGCACAGCCACUCCAUCCUGCCUCCAUGUAUAGGAAUGGAGCAACUGAGAAUCAGGCUCUCUGUCUGUUUCCUCAGCUGUAAAGUAGGAAUAAUAAUACUUAUGUACAUGUCAGUGGGGUCAUGAGACUUAAUUAGCAAAUGUUUGUAAAGCAUUCUGAGAUCCUCAGAUGGAGAGUAUUGGAGAAGUGGAAAAUGUUUACUCAAGUAAAAUAAAAUAUAUUAAAUCAAUAAUAAAUAAUGCUUUGCACUUCUAUAGCACGGUGUAAUGCAAAUAUCUCAGAUUGCUUCAGAGAUAUUAAUUAAUUUAGUCUCACAAUACCCCCGUGGUGCAAGGAAGUAUUAUGCCCAUUUUACAGAUGGAGAAAGUGAGGCACAGAGCGCUUAAGUGACUUGCUUACAAUCACAUCGUUCAUCUCAAGGAGAGCUGGUAAAAUAACCUGGCACUCAUGACUCCCAGUUCUCUGCUCUAGCUGGUAGACAACACUCCUUCCAAACCAAUAACAUUAUCAGAAGCAUUUAAGAAAAUCUGCCAGAAAUAAAACACUACAUAUCCCUAAGUUAAUCCAAUUAUCUCUCUCUAAAAAAAGGUUUUUAACACCUCCCACACAUAACAGCAAAUUGGUGAUGUUAACAGUGCAUAAUCAAGAAACAGGAGGCUGUGCUAUUGGGUAAUGUAUAUCCCAUUCUGUGGAUGAGAUUUUUGUUCAAUUUUAAUAAAUAUAAAUGUUUGGAAAUGUUUAA